ACAGGUUUAAUUAACUUGGAAUUAAACUCAUCACAGCCUGCUUGGUUUUCCAAUCAUUUGACCAUAUAUGGUGACCACCAAAUGGCUCCUUCUUGAUACUUCCCACCUCCUUUCUUCUGUCACAAUGAAGGCGAACCAAUCAUGAAGCUCCCACCUCACAAUGGUUCUAAUCCUCUUAGGUCAUAUUGCAGCCCACCAUAUGCGUCUGGCUCAUUUGCCCUUAGACUCUCCCAGGGAUCGCAGCCUCUCUGAGGUUUGCCCAUUCCCAUGCAGGUAAUGCCCACUGAGCUCAAUGGAUCUUACAGGAAGGUAAGUAUAUUUUGGGUUGCUGCCAGGAUUCUGUUCUUGGUGGGAAUCCAACUUCCUUUGGCCAAAACAUCAUGUUCGGAGAAGCAGAAGUGAUGAGGACCCAUGAAUCAAGAGAGCAAGAACUUGUUUAGGGUCCAUGUUUCUCUUGGGACAAGGACACGAAGAAGGCCUUCUCUGGAUAGGAUCUAUGCAUCAAGUACAGGUUCCAUAUUUCACUGAGAGGCCAAGACAAUCUCACCUCGAAUCACGUCUUUUUGGUGGGGUUGGUGUCCAAGACAACGAGGCAAACUGGUGGUGAGAUACAUCACAGUCCACAACAAUAGGCCCAUUGCACCACAUGUGUCUUGCUCAUUUGCCCUUAGACUCUCCAGGGAUCACAGCUUCUCUGAGGUUUGCCCAGUCCCAUGCAGGUAAGGCCCACUGAGCUCAAUGGAUCUUACAGCAAGGUAAGUAUAUGUUGGGUUGCUGCCAGGACUCUGUUCUUGGUGGGAAUCCGAAUUCCAUUGGCCAAGAAGUCUUGUUCGGAGAAGCAGAAGUGCAGUGACUCGAUUGAAACCAGAACCAGCUGGUGAGUAAGAUUGGAUGAAUUCAAUCUUUUCUCUUUGUGAUCAGAAUAGGCACCGUCAGAAGAUUUCACAAAGGAUGUCCAUGCUUUUUUACAGGUCAUGUAGAAGUGGAGGAAGGAGCAACACCCUUACACCUGGAUCAGUCAGUUCUACCUGUUGUGGCCUUCCUACUCAUACACACAACUGUUUCCUCUGUGAAGAGGACAUGGAGAAGACUCUGUCUGAAGAGGACCCAUGAGUCAAGAAAGCAAGAAUUUGGGUCCAUGUUUCUCUUGGGAUGAGGACAUUUAGAAGACCUUGUCCAGAUAGGAUCUAUGCUUCAAGUAGAGGUUCCAUACUUCACUGAGAGGCCAAGACAAUCUCACAUUGAAUCACGUCUUUUUGGUGGGAUUGGCGUCUAAGACAACGAGGCAGACUGGUGGUGAGAUACAUCACAGUGCCCAACAAUAGGCCCAUUGAUCCCUGGGCUGCAGAGUGGGGUGGGGGAGAAUCAGAUGACUGAAUAGAAAUGAAGGGGCACAAUCCAGAGAUUGAUGGAAUGCCUCCCCCACUUUUUAUCCUGGCAGUGCAGGCACAGCUGGUUGCCUCUAUUGGAGCCGAGAAGGAAUUUUUCCCUGUUCAACCCAAAUUGGCCUUGGAGGUUAACGGGUUUUUGCCUUCUCUGCACUGCCUUCCUCUUGGGCUGCCCCACCUUGGUUGGGAACUCAAGAAGAGCUAAACUGUGGGUGUUUUAGAGGCUACAAUUUGAAAGAGACUAAGCCCACAAACAUCAUGGCUUUGAAGGCUAUACUGCUGGAUAAGCUCUGUGGUUUAGGCCUCCUUGAUAGGGGCUGGACCUGAUGAUCUAUUGGGUCCCUUCCACCGCUGUAGUUCUAAGCUAUUAUCAC